rnacentral:rRNA from 1 species
UGGGGAAUAUUGGACAAUGGGCGCAAGCCUGAUCCAGCCAUGCCGCGUGGAUGAUGAAGGCCUUAGGGUUGUAAAGUCCUUUUAACGGGGAAGAUAAUGACGGUACCCGUAGAAUAAGCCCCGGCUAACUUCGUGCCAGCAGCCGCGGUAAUACGAAGGGGGCUAGCGUUGCUCGGAAUUACUGGGCGUAAAGCGCACGUAGGCGGCUUGUUAAGUCAGGGGUGAAAGCCUGGAGCUCAACUCCAGAACUGCCUUUGAUACUGACGAGCUUGAGUUCGGGAGAGGUGAGUGGAACUGCGAGUGUAGAGGUGAAAUUCGUAGAUAUUCGCAAGAACACCAGUGGCGAAGGCGGCUCACUGGCCCGAUACUGACGCUGAGGUGCGAAAGCGUGGGGAGCAAACA